rnacentral:rRNA from 1 species
AGUCGAACGGAAAGGCCCUGCUUGCAGGGUACUCGAGUGGCGAACGGGUGAGUAACACGUGGGUGAUCUGCCCUGCACUUCGGGAUAAGCUUGGGAAACUGGGUCUAAUACCGGAUAGGAACCAUCUUUAGUGUGGUGGUUGGAAAGUUUUUUCGGUGUAGGAUGAGCUCGCGGCCUAUCAGCUUGUUGGUGGGGUAAUGGCCUACCAAGGCGGCGACGGGUAGCCGGCCUGAGAGGGUGUACGGCCACAUUGGGACUGAGAUACGGCCCAGACUCCUACGGGAGGCAGCAGUGGGGAAUAUUGCACAAUGGGCGCAAGCCUGAUGCAGCGACGCCGCGUGGGGGAUGAAGGCCUUCGGGUUGUAAACUCCUUUCGCUAGGGACGAAGCUUUUUGGUGACGGUACCUAGAUAAGAAGCACCGGCUAACUACGUGCCAGCAGCCGCGGUAAUACGUAGGGUGCGAGCGUUGUCCGGAAUUACUGGGCGUAAAGGGCUCGUAGGUGGUUUGUCGCGUCGUCUGUGAAAUUCUGGGGCUUAACUCCGGGCGUGCAGGCGAUACGGGCAUAACUUGAGUGCUGUAGGGGUAACUGGAAUUCCUGGUGUAGCGGUGAAAUGCGCAGAUAUCAGGAGGAACACCGAUGGCGAAGGCAGGUUACUGGGCAG